UACGUAGGCAGCGAGCGUUGUUCGGAGUUACUGGGCGUAAAGGGUGUGUAGGCGGUUGUUUAAGUUUGGUGUGAAAUCUCCCGGCUCAACUGGGAGGGUGCGCCGAAUACUGAAUGACCAGAGUGCGGGAGAGGAAAGUGGAAUUCCUGGUGUAGCGGUGAAAUGCGUAGAUAUCAGGAGGAACACCGGUGGUGUAGACGGCUUUCUGGACCGUAACUGACGCUGAGACACGAAAGCGUGGGUAGCAAACAGG
rnacentral:rRNA from 1 species